rnacentral:rRNA from 1 species
GAUGAACGCUGGCGGCGUGCCUAAUACAUGCAAGUCGAGCGAACGGACGAGAAGCUUGCUUUUCUGAUGUUAGCGGCGGACGGGUGAGUAACACGUGGAUAACCUACCUAUAAGACUGGGAUAAAUUCGGGAAACCGGAGCUAAUACCGGAUAAUAUUUUGAACCGCAUGGUUCAUAAGUGAAAGACGGUCUUGCUGUCACUUAUAGAUGGAUCCGCGCUGCAUUAGCUAGUUGGUAAGGUAACGGCUUACCAAGGCAACGAUGCAUAGCCGACCUGAGAGGGUGAUCGGCCACACUGGAACUGAGACACGGUCCAGACUCCUACGGGAGGCAGCAGUAGGGAAUCUUCCGCAAUGGGCGAAAGCCUGACGGAGCAACGCCGCGUGAGUGAUGAAGGUCUUCGGAUCGUAAAACUCUGUUAUUAGGGAAGAACAUAUGUGUAAGUAACUGUGCACAUCUUGACGGUACCUAAUCAGAAAGCCACGGCUAACUACGUG